rnacentral:rRNA from 1 species
CCUAUGGGGGGCAGCAGGCGCGAAAACUUUACAAUGCGGGAAACCGUGAUAAGGGAACUCCGAGUGCCCGUAAAAUCGGGCUGUCCACCAGUUUAAAUAACUGGUGAAGAAAGGGCCGGGCAAGACCGGUGCCAGCCGCCGCGGUAAUACCGGCGGCUCGAGUGGUGGCCACUAUUACUGGGCUUAAAGCGUUCGUAGCUGGUCUGUUAAGUCUCUGGGGAAAUCUACUGGCUUAACCAAUAGGCGUCUCAGGGAUACUGGCAGACUAGGGACCGGGAGAGGUGAGAGGUACUCCAGGGGUAGGAGUGAAAUCCUGUAAUCCUUGGGGGACCACCUGUGGCGAAGGCGUCUCACCAGAACGGCUCCGACAGUGAGGGACGAAAGCUGGGGGAGCAAACCGGAUUAGAUACCCGCGUAGUCC